ACUCCCAAACCCAAUGUGAACGUUACCAAACUGUUGCCUCGGCGGGAUCUCUGCCCCGGGUGCGUCGCAGCCCCGGACCAAGGCGCCCGCCGGAGGACCAACCAAAACUCUUAUUGUAUACCCCCUCGCGGGUUUUUUUUAUAAUCUGAGCCUUCUCGGCGCCUCUCGUAGGCGUUUCGAAAAUGAAUCAAAACUUUCAACAACGGAUCUCUUGGUUCUGGCAUCGAUGAAGAACGCAGCGAAAUGCGAUAAGUAAUGUGAAUUGCAGAAUUCAGUGAAUCAUCGAAUCUUUGAACGCACAUUGCGCCCGCCAGUAUUCUGGCGGGCAUGCCUGUCCGAGCGUCAUUUCAACCCUCGAACCCCUCCGGGGGGUCGGCGUUGGGGAUCGGCCCUCCCUUAGCGGGUGGCCGUCUCCGAAAUACAGUGGCGGUCUCGCCGCAGCCUCUCCUGCGCAGUAGUUUGCACACUCGCAUCGGGAGCGCGGCGCGUCCACAGCCGUUAAACACCCAACUUCUGAAAUGUUGACCUCGGAUCAGGUAGGAAUACCCGCUGAACUUAAGCAUAUCAA
rnacentral:rRNA from 1 species